CUCGUGUCGUGAGAUGUUCGGUUAAGUCCGGCAACGAGCGCAACCCACGUCCCCAGUUGCCAGCAUUCAGUUGGGCACUCUGUGGAAACUGCCGAUGAUAAGUCGGAGGAAGGUGUGGAUGACGUCAAGUCCUCAUGGCCCUUACGGGUUGGGCUACACACGUGCUACAAUGGUAGUGACAAUGGGUUAAUCCCAAAAAGCUAUCUCAGUUCGGAUUGGGGUCUGCAACUCGACCCCAUGAAGUUGGAAUCGCUAGUAAUCGCGGAACAGCAUGCCGCGGUGAAUACGUUCCCGGGCCUU
rnacentral:rRNA from 1 species